CAGUCGCCACGGUAAUACGAAGGGUGCAAGCGUUAAUCGGAAUUACUGGGCGUAAAGCGUGCGUGGGCGGUUUGUUAAGUCAGAUGUGAAAUCCCCGAGCUUAACUUGGGAACUGCAUUUGAAACUGGCAAGCUAGAGUCUUGUAGAGGGGGGUAGAAUUCCAGGUGUAGCGGUGAAAUGCGUAGAGAUCUGGAGGAAUACCGGUGGCGAAGGCGGCCCCCUGGACAAAGACUGGCGCUCAGGUGCGAAAGCGUGGGGAGCAAACAGGAUUAGAUACCCCUGUAGUCCCUGUCUCUUAUAC
rnacentral:rRNA from 1 species